UACAGAGGUCUCAAGCGUUGUUCGGAUUCAUUGGGCGUAAAGGGUGCGUAGGUGGCGCCGUAAGUCAGGUGUGAAAUUUCGGAGCUUAACUCCGAAACUGCAUUUGAUACUGCGGUGCUUGAGGACUGGAGAGGAGACUGGAAUUUACGGCGUAGCAGUGAAAUGCGUAGAGAUCGUAAGGAAGACCAGUGGCGAAGGCGGGUCUCUGGACAGUUCCUGACACUGAGGCACGAAGGCCAGGGGAGCAAACGGG
rnacentral:rRNA from 1 species